AGAAUCAACGCUGGCGGCGUGCCUAACACAUGCAAGUCGAACGAGAAAGUGGAGCAAUCCAUGAGUAAAGUGGCGCACGGGUGAGUAACACGUGACUAACCUACCCUUGAGUGGGGAAUAACUUCGGGAAACCGAGGCUAAUACCGCAUAAUACCUACGGGUCAAAGGAGUAAUUCGCUUAAGGAGGGGUCGCGGCAGAUUAGUUAGUUGGCGGGGUAAUGGCCCACCAAGACUGUGAUCUGUA
rnacentral:rRNA from 1 species